AAUACUUUCCAUUGCUGGGAUAUAACAUGUAGCAGCAGUAGAAUAACCAGCCUUCAGAAGCUGCUGUGAACACAAGCCAGCAGG